CCUACGGGAGGCAGCAGUGAGGAAUAUUGGUCAAUGGACGAGAGUCUGAACCAGCCAAGUAGCGUGAAGGAUGACUGCCCUAUGGGUUGUAAACUUCUUUUAUAUGGGAAUAAAAUGUUCCACGUGUGGGAUUUUGUAUGUACCAUAUGAAUAAGGAUCGGCUAACUCCGUUCCAGCAGCCGCGGUAAUACGGAGGAUCCGGGCGUUAUCCGGAUUUAUUGGGUUUAAAGGGAGCGUAGGUGGAUUGUUAAGUCAGUUGUGAAAGUUUGCGGCUAAACCGUAAAAUUGCAGUUGAAACUGGCAGGCUUGAGUGCACGAGAGGUGGGCGGAAUGCGUGGUGUAGCGGUGAAAUGCUUAGAUAUCACGAAGAACUCCGAUUGCGAAGGCAGCUCACUGGACUGCAACUGACACUGAGGCUCGAAAGUGUGGGUAUCAAACAGGAUUAGAUACCCGAGUAGUC
rnacentral:rRNA from 1 species